rnacentral:rRNA from 1 species
UACAGGGGGUGCAAACGUUGCUCGGAAUUAUUGGGCGUAAAGCGCGCGUAGGCGGCUACCUAAGUCGGAUGUGAAAGCCCCUGGCUUAACUGGGGAAGUGCACCCGAAACUGAGCUAGCUAGAGUGCGAAAGAGGGUCGCGGAAUUCCCGGUGGUAGAGGUGAAAUUCGAUAGAUAUCGGGAGAACACCGGGUGGCGAAGGCGGCGACCUGGGUCGACACUGACGCUGAGCCGCGAAGCGUGGGGAGCAAACAGG